UUUCUUCGGCUUUGCCGAUGAGACACUAGGUGUCAACUAUUGCUUCGAACUAUCCGAUGAAGCACUGGGUGCCAUUCUGGUGUGUUUGGUUGGAUCCGUGUAUUCGCCAAAGUCCGAGUUUUGUUAAUAAGGUAAAUGAUGAAAUGAUAAACCGAACGAGUUGGUCAAACGAGCUACUGAAAUGAAAUGAAAAAGUUGAAUUGUGAAUUGAAAUGUGAUAUGAGAUAGAGGAAUGAACCUAAGGUUCAUGAUUUGUUCAAACUCAAAUUGUGGAUAUAUGAUAUUGGUUGAUGAAUUGCUAUUGUUGAGAUAUUGAAUUUAAAUUGUAUAUACGAAUUAUGCAUUACAUGUUUAUUAUUGUUAUAAUUUGAAUUAUGGUAAUACCACUGAGUAUGAAAUACUCAGCGUACGGUUGUUUCCGUGCGCAGGUCGAUAGAAGUCAAAGGUCCCGGUUCAGCAUCCAGACUAAUCCCGACUUCAGCAAAGUUUUGGUGAUGUAUUUUCCUUUGGUAAAUGUGGCAUGUACAUAGGAUGUGUAUAAAGGUUGUUAUGUUUUAAUAUAAAUGGUAAAAAAAUGUUAGUGUUAAAAGUUUAUGAAUUAUUAUGAAAGAAGUUUAUCUAUUUUGAUUUAUUUAUUACCUUGUUAAAUUUUAAAUUGAUAUUAUGUUGAUUGAGUUUGAUUAGAAGUAUUUAGAAUAGAAAAUGUGAAUGUGAAAUGAAUUGGUUGAUUGGUUAUAUUUGAAAAUGAUAUGGUUUUAAAUUGCAGGGGGUUUGAUGUAGAAAUAAGUAGAAAUGCUGCCGAAAUUUUUCUAAAAAUGAAUGAAAUCAAUUAGUAAAAUUUAUAACAAUUUAUGAAUUAUUUUAAUAGGAUGGUUAUUUAUUUAAGAAUUAUUUUUAAAUUGCUUGGUAUGUCUGGUAACGUCUCGUAACCCUAUUCCGGCGACGGUUUGGGGUUAAGGGGUGUUACACUAACAAUUUGAUUGAGUUGGUGUAGGGAGACAAUAAGGACUCAAACUCAAGGAGAACACCAUUCAGAGUGAGUAUCGUGACACCAACAUCAUGGAAGUCGUGAUAUCCCUAAAGGUGUUGAAGUGAAGAAAUUAAGUCCAUUUCCAGUGGUAUCACGGCACCAAGGGAUGGUAUCGCGACACUGAAACCCUGAAGACCCUAAUUUAGCUACUAUUUUUGGGUAUUGCGACAAUGAAGGUUGGAUGUCGCGAUACAUCUGAUGGGUGAAAAACUGCAGGGGCAAUAUUGUGUUCAAACAAGCUUAAGUCUUUUUUUUCAUUUAAGGGAAUGAUGGUUAAUGUUAGGUUAAAUGUUAGUAUACUAUAAAUACUACUUUAUAAGCCUUGGAAGAUAAUUUUUAUUAGUUGAACAUUUCUCCUUUGUGUUUCAUAGUUUUAGGUUAGGUUUUCUUUUCUUUUUAUUUUUAGAUUAGGUUUAGAAUAUAUUUUAUUUUUGUUGUUUCCUAUUUGUUCUUUUAUUGUCAAAGACUAUGCAAAAGAAAAAUGAUCAAACUCUUGGGCUUUAUUGAAUUUCCAUCAAUUAAAUGAGCAUUUUGUUAAACCCUUUAACUUUAUUUUAUGUUUUUCGUGUGUUUGGUAAAAUGUUUAUUUAAAUUUAAGUUUGAUCAUGUGCUAAAUUGGUUGACAGAUGGUUGAUUGGUUAUUUUUUAGUUUAAGUUAAUGUUUUUUCUUUAUUAAUUGAUUUUUCAAUUAUAUCAAAAUGCUUCAUAUGUUAGAAUUGACACCUCUAAUGGAAAAUCUAGAUAAACGAGACCGAGAGGAGAGUUUAUCAUUUGAUAGUUUAAUAUAAUUGUGUUAAAUAGUGAGACCGAAAGGAGAUCUAUAUGCCUAGAUGAGACUAAGAGGAGAACCUAGGUGGUAUCUUUUAGUAUAGGAUGACCUGAGAGGAGAUCCUUAGUUAAGAGUGACAAAGAAUAUAAUCGGUAUAGGUUUAUUACCUUAGUUAGUGAGUAAUGAAUCAAUCAACCACCGUUUUAUCAUAUUCAUUGUCUAAAGAAAUAGGGAAGAAAAUUAGUUUAGUUUGUUUAAUUGAUAAUUUAAAUUUAGUUAAUAAAAAAUUUAUUUUUGAAUUUGAACUAAUAAUUUUUAACUAGAUUAGAAUAGAAAUUGCUUAACUUGUAGUUAACUUGAUAAACACAUUUACCAAUUUGGAAAUCUCUUGGGUUUGAUCCUUAGAAUACUCAUCAGUUCCAUUGUAACACAUAUAAAUAUUACAACUGACCUGUCACACUUGCAGUAAAGUUGUUAGAUAUUUAAGUAUAAUAGUGUUGAUUCACAGCCCUAGUAUGUGUGCACCAGGGCUAAGAAUCAACACAAAAACAAUCAAUAAUCUAACGGUGUACUACAAGUGUGACAGGUUGAGUUGUAAUAUUUCUAGUGUUACAUGGAACACUCAAGUAUUCCAAAUAUCGAACCCAAGAGAGUUUAUGGACUAAGUGAUGCCUAAUUGACAAGCAUACAACAAAGAAAUCUACCUAACUACUCAUUCAGUUUUAUAUUACAGUAAUUCAUGAUCAGGGUUAGUUAAGCUAAGUAACUACCUAACACUAACAAUGAUCAAAUUGUAAAAUUGUAAAACUAUAGAACUACGAAAUUAGCAAUCAAAUAAAUGACAAUGGUCAUUUGACUUCUAUGUUGUUGAUUAGUCUUUGGAUUGGGGAUCUAAAAACACUAAACUUCUAAUUGGCUCAAUUUUACCUUUCGAUCACUAUUUUACAAAUUAGACGAUUUAGUCUGAUUUAUCUCACCAAACUAAGUCAAGAUAAACGAAUUGAAGCUUAAGAAGAUCUCCUCUCGAUCUCACCUAUCUAUAUGUUCCCUUAGAGGCAUCAAUUCUAAGUUUUAAAGUUUAUUCAAUUUAGUUUAGUUUAGUUUUUACGAUUUAGUCCCUAUACCAAAAAUUAACCAAGCAACAGUUCAAUCAACCAACCACCAUAAAUUUAGUUACCUAACAUGAUUUCCAUACAAAAAAACCCAAUAAACAUUCAAAGCAUACAUUAGAUUAAGAACAAAAAGUAGGGAUAAAAAAGCUUAGUAGUUUCUUGAUGGAUGCUUGAAGGAGAAGAUGUAGGCAACAUGGAGGCGAGAAAAAUAUCAACAAAGAUCAGAUUCUAAUCUUUUAAAAUGAAAAUGAAGCUAAACUAUAUUUAAACCUUUGGAUGAAAUUGAAAAUACAAGCUAAAGUUUGAGAAUACUAAUACCAAGCUAUAGUCACACUAACUAACUAAUAGAAAGUGAUAAACUAAAACCUUGAAAAGGUGAAGAUGAAACAACUACUUAGCUAAAAAGAAGAUAAAAAAGUGUGUGUAAUAAUGCUAAAGGUGGCCCCUUUAAAGUUAUCAACCAACAACUUAAUAAAACCAAUUUUUUUUACAAAAGUGCCCAAGACGCUGAAUUUUGCUUGGGUUGGUGAUGGAAAAAAACUACCUUUGCAAUCAAUUUUCUCCUUGUCCAACAGGGGUAUUGCGACAACCAGGCUUCGGUGUCAUGAUACCCAAAAUAGUAUCAAAAUUGGGGGUCUUGGGUCUCGGUGUUUGACUACGUGCGCAUAAAAAAUGAUUUUAUAAAGUAAAUUUAAAGUGCGGUUUUACUACAAACAGAUACUGUCAGUUGUAAUAUUUAUAGUUCUGAUGGAACACGAAGUGUUCUAAGGGUUCGAACCCAAAUGAUUGCCAAAUGGGUAAAUGUGUUUAUCAAGUUAAUUACAAGUUAAGCAAUUACUAAUAUAAUCGAGUCGGAAAUUAUUAGUAAAAGUCUAAAUAAAAUUGUUUAUAAACUAAAAUUAAACUAUUAAUUAAACUAACUAAGCUAAACUUUAUUCUUAAUGUUUUUGAAAAUGUAAAUGAUUAAACGAUGGUCAAUCGAUUAGUUGAGUGUUAUUUAAACUAAUGAACCUAUAUCGAUUACAAUGGUUGCCACUUUUAGUUAGGAAUCUCCUCUCAGUCUCAUCUUAGACUAAAAGAUACCACCUAAGAUUACCUCUCGGUCUCACCUAGGCAAAUAGACUACCUCUCAAUCUCACUACUCAGCACAAUCAUAUCGAACUAUCUAAGGAUAAAAUUUCCUCUCGGCGUCAUUUAUCUAGGUUUUCCGCUAGAUAUUUCAAUUCUAGCGUAUUAAGCAUUUUGAUAUAAUAGAACAACCAAUCAAUCAAAAAUAGAAAUCAAUUUAAGCUAACAAAAAACCAAACAAUCAACCAUCCAACAAAUUUAGCACAUAUUCAAACUCAAACCCCAAACAAGUAUUUUAUCAAACAUAUUGUAGGCAUAAAAUGAAAGUAAAAGGUUUAAGAAAAUGCUCAUUCAAUUGAUGAAAUUCCAUUGAAGCCCAAGAUUUUGUUCAUGUAACGCCCCAGAAUUUGGGCCUAGAAGUAGUGGGCCUUGAGCAUGGGAACUCAUAAAAGUUUAUGUGUGCGAAAUGAUAUCAUAAAUUAAGUGUAGCUUUAGUGGCUAAGUAUUUGGGCAUAUUUGGGAGUGCUUGAGAAGCCUGGAUUCAAGUCUGGGCGUUUGCCAAAAAUUUUAAUUUGGGCUCUUAAGUGAACCUGGAUGUUUGCUUAUAAGACUUAUAAUAAUUAGUGGUUGUUUUAUGACAAAAAGAGAGAAGGGAUCUAGUGGCAAGGUGGCGCUACAUGUGUGGCAAGGAGUUUAAGGUUUGAGGCAUGGCGUGCGUAAUUGUAUGUUUAUUUUGCUACUUGAGCUAGGGAGGUGUUAGAAUUGGACUAGAACUUUGUGGUUGAAUUGGUCAUAAGAAUUUGAAUUGAAUUUGAAUGGGGAGUUGGAGUAAAUCAAGGAGAAAAUUCGGUGGAGGGAUUGGUGGAGUUUUUGAAGGAUUUUGAAAUGGGAGAAGUUGGAGCCAAUUGGGGGGAGUUUUGUUUAGGCAAAUUCGGCUAGAGAGUGCAUUGGGUGCAUUUUCGGCUAUUGCUUUCCUUUAUGCCGAUUUGUUUUAUUUUCUCUCUUCUGUCUAUAGUGUUAAAUAUUGCCAUAGAUCUUUUUGGUAUUUUUCCCGUUUCGGUUUUCUUUAUUCUCUUCUCCUUGUUUCCUAUUCUUCUCAAUGUGAGUCGGAUUCAACUUCUCUUUCUCUGCCUUUAUUCUUUUUCCCUUCUCUAUCGAUCAAACGUUUCGACCUACAAGUGUCCUGAUGAAUCAUUUCUCCGGCCUCUGAAGUGUCGAAUUUGUUCUUCUCUUAUGGGUUGAUUGAGUUCAAUUUAUCUAGUUGGCCGAUUGUUAGGGAUAAACCACAAGGAGGUGAUAUCGAUUCAUAAUCAAAUGGCUUAUGAAGUAUAAGCCGAUUCAAUCAAGGUUCUACGCUCGUGGGCUAUUGCGUUUCUCUCCAUCAAUGUGUGUACACACACUAAUUGCGUUGUAGGACGGCAAAUGUCGAAAUGUCGGGAUGCCGAAAUGCUGAAAAGCCGACAAUACCGCAACAGCUACUAUGCAGGUGCACGAACACUCAUGUAGGGGAGUCGAUACAUUGACAAAGGCCACCAUGAGCGAUCUCGUGGACUUGGCCGUUAUUAAGCUUAAUGGGCCGAUUUUGGUCGAGUGGGCUCGUAUGGCUAAAUUUUGCUGUUAAGUGAGAAACCAUAAACUUGUCAUGUCGCACACAUGACUUAGGUAGUUCUGGGCUUCGGUGGGCCAAAAUGGUCUUGCGGGCCCAAUAAGAACGUGGGCUCCACACGGAAGAAAUUUACGGUAAGUGGCUAUUAAUGAACCGGGUUAUGGGUACACAUAGCCAUAUCUGAUUUUGGGUUGUUCUAGGCCUCGUUGGGUUGAAAUGGCCUGUGUGGGCCCAGUGGGCUUCUGGGCCACAUGGAUAAAAUGUAUGUGAUGUGGUAAGUGCUGUUGGACUGUGACGUUUGCAUAGCUGAGGUCGUUAUGGGCCUCGAUGGGUCAAAAUGGGCUUGUGGGCCCACACGGGUAAAAUCCUCGAUAAGUGAUCAUUGGUUUAUGAGGCUCUCGAUGUCGUAUGUGAAUCUGAACUAAAUGGGCCACAUGAGCGUGUAGGCCCACUUGGGCCCAAUAGCGGGUUUUAGGCCCAUAUACACCGUUCUGGCUGUGUAGGUUAUUUGAGUCGCUCGAAGCAUCAAUAGACCUUUUAGGAGGUCGUAAUAAGUACUGAGACUCCAAAAUUUGUAAAAUGAUCGUAAUGCCCCUGUAGAGUAAAAUGAUCGUAAUGCCCAUGUAGGGUAAAAUGACCGUAAUGCCCCUGCAAGGUAAAAUGACUGUGAUGCCCUUGUAGGUAAAAUGACUGUAAUACCCCUGUCAGGUGAAUUGAUCGAUAUACCCUCAAAGAGUAAAAUGACUAUUUUGCCCCUCGAGGUUAAAUGAUUUAUUCAUCUGUGAUGUAAGUGAUUGAUUUGUCCGAGAUGUAAAUGACUAAUUUGUCUGUAAUUUAAAUGAUUGAUUUGUCUGUGAUUGGUAUAACUGGUUUGUUUGUGAAUUGUAUGACUGAUUCUAAGCAUGACAUUCUGCAUACACAACAUACUACAUGGAGUUGAGAUACUGUUAUGGAGGAAGUACUAUACUGGUGAGUUUGAACACAUUGGUGUUUGAACACAUUGCCGCUGUCUUAUUUUUUACCUUCUUGACAGCCACAUCACGAGCCACUUUCUUUCAAAGCCUGACCAACUCUAAAGCUCGUUUCGGGGUAUUAUAACCUCGUGCAUCACAAACUUAAUGUCACCAUAAGUCAUAGAUACUCGGACUUUAAUUCUUGUUUCGAACUUAAAAUAGGUAUGUUCGUUAAGCCCAUCAGUUGGCUCAUCUUCAACAAUAGGCGAAAAGUGUGUUAGCUCCUCCACACCUUCAUUUGAUUCUAGUUUAAGCUCAUCCUCUACAUCUAACACUACUCCUACUUCUAUUUCUACGUUAAUCAGAGUGAAGACACAUUCUUCGUUUCUCGCAAUCUCGUUAAAUGCACAAUGGAUAAUCAUAAGCACAUAUUAUGGGAUUCUAUUAGUAUGAGGUAGUCAAGCCGAAAUAGAUUCCUUAUUAUCUUGGAAGUAUGUUCACAUUAGGAUAGCAUUCUCCUUUAAGCCCAGGUGGUAGGUUACGUUUGAAAUGGAAUAGGUGGCCAGGCUCAAGAGGUCAAUAUAAGUCAACCAUGCCUCUUAUGCUAACACGUGUCUUCUUGGUAGAGGGAUAUAAUAAUCUUAAUUGCAAAUGUGAGGUUCUAAUCUGGUGAGUGUUAAAGCUUGUAACCACUUAUUAUAAGAGGUGUUAAGAUAGUAAAUUAUUUCUUUGAACAAAACCCUACAAAUUUUUGGAAGAUGAACUACGUAAACAUAUUGUUGUGCUCUUCAUCAAUGUCUGAAGCAAUUGACACUGCUCAUAACAUUGUUACUAGAACUACUCAAUUUUACUCGCAAAUAUUGUUCUAAAUUGUUUCAAAAAUAUUUAACAAAUGCUUCUUCUUUUUUAUCAUUUCAAUAGCAUCACAAAUCACUCCACUUUCAUUAUCCUUAUGUUUUUAGUUUAGUUUUGAUAUUGCAUUAUUUGUUAUUUUUUGUCUUCUUUAAAACUUCCUUGAACUACAAACAAAGAAAAAGAACAUGGUAAUGUAUUAUUGUAUUUAUUUUGUUAUAUUUUCAACUUGUUUGAAUUAAAAAAAAUGUUAAUUUUUUUUGUUAAUUUAUUAAAUCAACUAAAUUAAUCAAAAUUAAUUCAAUUCGAUUAAUAAGAUUCAAAAAAAAUUCAAUUCAGCUAAUCGUUAAAAAAUUUAAAAUUUUGAUUAAUGGUAAUUCAAUUUAGAUAUUAACUGAACUUACUAUUUGAACACAUCUAAUCCCAUUAUAUACAUAAAUAUAUUUUUUAAAAUUUUAUAUAAAUAAAAAAUAUCCUUAAAAUAAUAUAUAAUUUAUUAAAAUAAUGAUCUUUUAAUAAUUUAACAAUUAAAUUAAAACCCAAUUAAAAUGACAACUCCAUCAAGUAUAGUUACUAAUAAUCUUCAUUCUCUAUUACUACAACUUAACCUACCAUGCUUUAUUUAUAAAAUAAUUGUAGCAUUUGUGAUAAAAAUCAUGAUUAAAUGGAAAUAAACUUAGCAAAUAAUAAUAAUGAAAAAAAUAAUUCGUUAAAAUUAUUAAGGGUAUACGAUUUUAUGUUAAACUAAUAAAAUUGUGAAUUGGUUGUGAUACUAAUUUUUUAUAAAAAUUUAAGUUAAAAUCAAUUUAAAAGGAAAGAUAACAUUGCCAAAAAAAAAACUAUAGUAAAUAUAAAAAUUUUCCACUCCAUAUUAUUUUAUGUUCUAAUAAUAGAUUAAAUGAAUUGCAUUUCUUUUUAGCAUUAACAAGUUGUUGUUUUAAAAACUAGCAUUUUAAGAUGUUUUAGAUGAGAAAUUUUCAAAUUUUAGAGAGUUUAAAAUAUUAGCAUUUUAAAUGCAUCAUUUUGUUUGGAUAAAUAUUUAAAAAAAAUGGAAAUUUUUAAAUUUUUUAAGUUAAAAAAAUAUUAUAAAAAUAAUAUUAUUAUAAAUAAAUAAUAUAAAAUUGCAAUAUGGAUUAUUAGAUUUAUAAAAGGGAUUAAUAUUUUAUCUAUGAUGGAUGCAUAGUUCUCAUGAACCAUAAGCUUUUUUUUUUUUGUAAAGUACAAAGCAAGUAGACUAGUAAUAUAUGUUAUUAUGACCAUCGUUUUAUGAGUCCUGAGAAAGCUGCGAGUUUCGCCAAACGUUUGACCUCUACGUCAUCUGGGAAGUGGACCUCAACCUCGAAGGUUCAGAUUCCUUGUUGUAGGAGACGGAUAUCUGCGAGUAGCAGAGCCAAUUUUCAGUGGACCUAAAGUUGGCCGAGAGAAUACUUUCGCCCUGUCCUGUUCGGGAAGGAGAUGAUGCAGUUUUGGAGUUGUAGUCGCGGGAGCUGGCUAAGAAUUUGACAUAUGAAAAGUAGUUUGUUGUGGGUUUUGGUGAUAUGCUGGAAAAAUGUUGCGAAAGUUAAAGGAUGAGGGUGGAACCCGUAAUCGUCACUGCUACGCCGUAUUUUGAGUUGUUGGGAAUAUAUUUGAACGAAAGGGUAAGGUGGUGAGCGGAUAGAGGGCCAUCUUGGGAUUAUAUUUGAAUUCGCCGAUGGUGAAAAAAUUGCCCAUUCGUUACCUGGGAAACCUUUUGUCUGUAAGACCCAGUUGUACUCACAGCGAUUAGCGAUAGCACGAUGGAUUACGCCCACAUGGUUCACUUAUGCUUGUGAGAAACAGAUUUCAUGUCAAUGUUUCCAUAUUUUACGUAGUGUAAGUAUCCGCACUGUGAUUGUCGAUUGACUGUUCGGUUCGGAAGUCUGGUAGUCAUUUAUCCAAGAUGCAAUCCAUUCACGGAUAUCGGAUAUCUGCAAUGUAUCGAUGUGAAUCGACCAUGGAAUACCGAACCAGAUUAAUUUGACCAUAGAACAGAGUCAGAAAUGAUGAUCAACCAUUUCAUUUUGUUCGUGGCAGACACACCAUGGGUCAACCGGGAUCCGUCGCUUUUGAAGUUCCUCACACACUGGUAGCAGGUUGCGGCAAAUUUUCCAUAGGAAUUUGUAAUUUAUGAGGAAUAUUAAUUCACCAGAUUGCUUCCCACUUUAUGUUGAAAAAGUUGGGGAUAACUUCCAGGUUACUUUGUUUAGCAUGAGAUAAGCAUCUUUCAAUGAACACAUACCUGAAAAGCUAUGCUUCCAAACUUACAUGUCAUUGUCUGCUGUUAGGGAGAAGCUCCAAGAGUGAAGCUCAUUGGCCUAAUGGUCUCCCAUUUGUUCUUGAAUGAAUUGAGAGUUCCACCUAAUAUUGACUCUGUCUUGAAUGUCCGUUAUCUAGACUCCUGGCAGAUGUUGUGACUGAUAUUGUUUAAGUGUUAACUCAUUGCCACAAAUAGAAACAUUGCGUCCCGACCAGAUUUGAAUAUCGAGCCUUCUGAGGCAUGUAUCUCUUCCUUUUAGAAUGCUUUUCCAUAUCCAAGAGUCCAAAGGUUUAGCUUGGACCUCGAGAAAGUUAGUGUUAGUGCAGUAUUUUGACAAGAGUAUUGCUUGAGUAAACGAAUGCGGUUUUGAGAGAAUAUGCCAGGUCUGCUUGAAUAGAAGAGCAUCAUCAAUGAGUGUCGUUUGGUGAAUGCUUAGUCCUCCUUCCUUUUUCGGCCGACAUAAUUGUUCCCAAGUGAACAUAUGUAUGUUUUUUGUUGUCCGAGUCGUGGCCCAGCUAAAUAAUUCUGUCAACCUUGUCCGUAAUAAUUUUUGGGGCUUUGAUGCAUGAAAGAGAGUAAAUUGGCGUAGAUAUUAGAGUAGAUUGUAUCAGCACCAAUCUAUCCCCUCGUGAGAGCAUUUUGGAUUUGUUUUAGUUUGUUAGUUGUUUUGCCUCAUGGCAUCUUAUGUUUAUUCAAAAAAAAAAAAAAUUGAUGUGAAGACUUAUUUAGAGUACGGUUAAAGUUCUGGUUUCUCAGUUCAAAUUCUAUUACAUUCUUUCCCUCCUUUAAAUUUUGUAAUAAUAAAAAAGUUAUAAUGAUAAUUUUAAAAUAAAUAAAAAUAAAAGAUAUUUUCAUGAUUUUUCCAAACUUUGUUUCUCGUGUUGGGUAGGGAUUCACUUACAUCGGUGUAAAACUUAAGUGGUUUUAUACUCUUCCGUAAUUUUUUUUAUGAUUAAUAUUUUAUCAAUCCAACCGUCAUAUUUCAUUUUUCAUUCAUGUAGAUCAUGCAUGUCAAGUUUGUCGUAAAUUAAAAUUUUGUAACUAUUUGUUUUAUGUGAAAAAACUUUCGAUCAUUAAUGUGGAGUUAUGCAUCGUAUUUUUCAGCUUUUCUUCUCCCAGUUAAAUUCUAUUUUUAGUUUCCCACUUAAACUCUAAUUAGUGUAAGUUAUGUUAAUAUUAUUUGACCUACAAAUUUAGGCCCUUUUCCACCUUAGGAAAACAACUCAUUACACAUUUAGGUAUUAGCUUUUACAAGUUUUUAAAGAAUUUUGUGUUUACAUUUGAGGGUUCUUAUUUUGGAUUUCGGGGUUUAGUUUUAUCUCCAUAUUUUAUACUAUUUGUUUUUUCUGUUUUAGUGAAAUUAUCUUUGCCCGUGGUUUUUUAUCCUCUUCGAAGGGGUUUUUCCGUGUAAAAUAUUUGUGUUCAAUCUUUUCAAUCUCUUUGUUAUUUUACUUGUUCGUUGCUUAAAUUGAGUUUAUCCCCAACAAUUUGGUAUCAGAGCUAGUUCAAUUUUCGUAAUUAACUCAUUCAGAGAUAGCAGCAACAAAGUUUGAUAUUGAUAAGUUCGAUGGCAUCACAAAUUUCAAUCUGUGGCAAGUUUAGAUGACGGCAAUUUUGAUUCAGGACAGUCUUGAGAAGGUCCUUACAGAGAAGAAGCUUGUAGACAUGGAUAGAUCAAAAUGGCAUAGAUUAGAUAAAAAAGCUUUAUCCACGAUUCAAUUAUAUCUAACAAAUAAUGUGUUGUAGGAGAUUUUGAUGGAGAGAACGGCAUUCACCUUAUGGAAAAGGUUAGAAACCCUUUACACAACAAAGUCUCUAGCUAACUGAUUAGUGCUGAAACAGCAUUGUACACGUUCCACAUGAACAAAGGUGAGCACCUUAAAGAUUACAUUUGCCAAUUUAUUACUUUUUUGAAUGAUUUAAAGAAUGUUGAGGUUUAGAUUAACGAUAAAGAUCAAACUAUGCUAUUAUUAUGCUCUUUACCCCAUUCAUACAAGUCUUUCAGGGAAACCCUAGUUUAUGACAGAAAUAAUCUCUCAUUCAAGAAUGUGAAUGGUCAUUUGUUGAGCAAAGACAAACUCGACAAUGAGUAUGGUUUGAAUAGCAAGUCAAAUAGGCAAGCCUUGAUUUUGGUAGCAUGAAGGAAGCGAGACAAGAUAUGUCUUUAUUGUAAGAAGUUAGGUCACAUCAAUGUAGAUUGUUACAAAAUGCGAAAUAAAAGGGCUGUUGAAAGCAACGAAGAAGAUUUAAUUGGUGCUAAUUUGGCCAAUGACAAGGGUGAUGAUUUCUUGUUGGUGUCAACAAGUGAAAACUCUGAACUUACGUCCAAGUGGAUCCUGGAUUUGGGGUGUUCUUUCCACAUGUGUUCCAAUAAGGAUUGGUUCUCUACAUACAGUUCAAUUGAAGGUGAAGUUGUGCGCAUGGGGAAUGGUUCACCCAAUAAGGUAGCUAAUAUUGGUACUGUUCAGAUCAGGAUGUACGACGGGACAUUUAGGACACUGUCAGAUGUCAGGCAUGUGUCUAACUUAAAGAAAAAUCUCAUCUCCUUGGGAAUUUUAGACUUGAAGAGUUGUAGAAUUAACAUCGAAUCAAGCGACAUUAAGGUAUCCAGUGGGGCUCUCAUUUUGAUGAAAGGUAAAAAGAUUGGCAGUCUUUAUGUUUUAGAAGGAUAAUAGUGACCGAUGAAAUCGGACAUCCUCGUCCGUUAAGGAGUCGAAGUCGACUCGUUUGAAGCGGAGACAACUUGGUCAUAAGAGGAAAAAAUGUAUGAUUAUUUCGUAUAAGAGAGGUUCUCUUUUGGAUGCUGGUUUUGAAAAGAUAGGGCACUGCAUUCGUGAAAAUUAGACUUGGGUCAGUUUUGAAUUAGCAGUGCACAAGUCGAAAACUAAAAGACUUACAACUUCUAAGCAUAGUUUUGACUUAGUUAAUAUCCUACAUAGCUCGAGAUAAGCCCGUGGUGGGUUUUGGAAAAAAAAAGGCAUUGUGGAAAUACGAGUCAAUGUGGAGAUUUGUGGAGUUAUACCUCGUAUUUUUUAUUUUCUUCUCCCCGUUAAAUUCUAUUUUUAGUUCUCACUUAAACUCUAAUUAGUGUAGGUUAUUUUAAUAUUAUUUGACCUACAAAUUUAGCCAAUAAAUGGGCCAUUUUUCCACCUUAGAAAAAUAACCUAUUACACAUUUAGGUAUUAGUUUUUAUAAGUUUUCAGAGAAUUUUGUGUUUACGUUUGAGGGUUCUUAUUUCGGGUUUCGAGGUUUAGUUUUAUUUUCAUCUUUUGUACUCUUCAUUUUUUCCAUUUUAGUGAAAUUAUAUUUGCCCGUGAUUUUUUAUCCUCUUCGGAAGGGUUUUUUUCACCUAAAUUAUUUGUGUUUAUUUUUUCAAUUUCUUCAUUAUUUUACUUAUUUGUUGCUUAAACCGGAUUUAUCCCCAGUAAUUAAAUAUAUAUUAAUAUAAACAACAUUUUAUAUUGAUAUGAUAGAGAUAUCAGAUCGAUUCAAAAUUUUUCAUGCAUGACCAAUACAAACAUAUUGUCAAAUUCAAAGACUGGAUUGAUAAAAUAUUAAUAAUAUAAAAAAUUAAAAAAAUAUAUAAAAUCACUUAAGUUUUACACUAAUUUAAUUGAAUUUCUUUCCAUAUUUUUAUAUUUAUAUUAUAAAAUUUUGGACAUACCCGUUUUUAUCUACCGUUUAUUUAUAUUUUUGGAAAAUACAUCUACUAUUUAUUAAAGAUAAAGAAAGGGGGGAUUUGUAGACCACUAAAGUUAUAGGGGAAAGUUGAGAACCUGAAUCAGAGACGUGGCACGAUAAGGGCUGGGGUUGUCUUUGUAGGUUAGAGUGGGUUGUCUUAUCAUGGAUCUUUCAUGUCCUCAGACAAUCUAAACCUUCAAGGAAUAUGUAAAAGACCAUAUUCCUGGCCCUGUUCUAAGCAUUACCCCAACCCUAAACCUUCAAGGAAAACACUCCUUUGAACUAUUUGAUGGGUCCUUGUAUUGAAGGACCUUAGAGUUCGAAGUCGGUAAUUUAAUGUUCUUUAGCAUUUGGUUUAAAUAAUUGGAUUAAAUCGUAAAUUUAGUUUAAUAUAUAAUUUUAUAUAAAUUUUAAUUUUAUGUAAUUUUAUAUAUAAUAUUUUAAUUUGAUUCAAUUCUCACAAAUUAUUAACACAAUUAUUGAUAAAACAUCAUAUUAUGUUUAUAUAUAGCAUAUAUAUAAAAUAAUUUAAUGUAUUUAUUUAAAUGUGUAUAAUUGAAUCAAAAUAAAAUUUUUAUUUAUAUAUUUAAACCACAUUCAAAGUUUCACGUAUAUAAUCGUACCAAAUCAAAGUUUAUGUAUGAUUUUGAGAUUUGUCCUUAUAUAAUUUUAUCUCUUUAAGUUCAUAAAGGUUAAAUUGGUAAUUUUAACCAAAUAUGAACAUUUGAAAGUGGAAUCAGCACUAUUAUUUAGGUGUAACACUUGAAUUUCAUACAGUAGUAUAGAACUUCAAGAUAGGAAGCCCAAUUUUUAGGCCUAAAGUAGUAAUAGUGAUUUGUGGGGAUGGGAUGAUGGGCCUGCUGGGCAGUAAGUGAGCAUAGGAGGAGGAAAUUUCAAUAGUACCCCGAGAGAGCGAGGGAGGGAGCAGUGGAUAUGGCAGAGGGAUAAAACAACUCCUCAUAUUAGCCAUUCUUUUUGGUCCGUCCAUUUCACAAACCCUCAUCCUCAAAGCCACAGAGGAAUAAGAUAACACAAACCCAAAUCUCUUUUACCUUCUCUUCUUCAUUUUCCAAAGCCAAAGGCCAAAACCCUCCUUUCCUCUCCUCUCCUCUCCUCUACAAGGAAAUGGCAAUUUCAUCAACAGCGGCAGCCACUGCCGCUUCUUCUAAGCUUAGAUACCCACACGCCUCCCCUUUCCCAACUCACUCCUCAACCACCACCUCUGCCUUUUUCUCCUCAAUUCCCUCUAAACUAACCCCUACCCACCUCUCCUCUUCCUUCCUCCCUCCUUUCCUCACUACCGUCGCCACCACUUCCGUAUUCCCUCGCCGUCGCGGUUCUUUCACCGUCAAAGCUGCCCGUGGCAAAUUCGAACGCAAAAAGCCCCACGUCAACAUCGGCACCAUCGGCCAUGUCGACCACGGCAAAACCACCUUAACUGCCGCUCUAACUAUGGCCUUAGCCUCCAUGGGUAACAGUGCCCCAAAAAAGUACGACGAAAUUGAUGCCGCCCCUGAAGAGCGUGCCCGUGGUAUCACCAUUAACACCGCCACCGUUGAAUACGAAACCGAGAAUCGCCAUUACGCCCACGUCGACUGCCCAGGGCACGCUGAUUAUGUCAAAAACAUGAUUACCGGAGCUGCCCAAAUGGACGGUGCUAUCUUGGUUGUUUCCGGAGCCGACGGACCCAUGCCCCAGACUAAAGAGCAUAUCUUGUUGGCUAAAC
rnacentral:lncRNA from 1 species